CCCUUAGACGUUCUGGGCCGCACGCGCGCUACACUGACGAAGGCAACGAGCUUUCCUUUACCGAAAGGUACGGGUAAUCUUUUGAAACUUCGUCGUGCUGGGGAUAGAUCCUCGCAAUUAUUGAUCUUAAACGAGGAAUUCCUAGUAAGCGCAAGUCAUCAACUUGCGUUGAUUACGUCCCUGCCCUUUGUACACACCGCCCGUCGCUACUACCGAUUGAAUGGUUUAGUGAGGCCUUCGGAUCCGCGACUCGUUUUGUGGAGAAGUUGGACAAACUCAGUCAUUUAGAGGAAGUAAAAGUCGUAACA
rnacentral:rRNA from 1 species